rnacentral:rRNA from 1 species
AUGGCCUUACCCAUUAGAUGUGAAAAUAUCGACCUAGGGCACAUAUUGCAAAAUUUUGGAGGAACAGUGGGGCAUUUCCCAACGACUUACCUGGGUUUGCCGCUGACGCUAGCCAGGCUGCGACUCGCGAACCUACAGUUCAUCAUAGAUAGGAUCAAAGCCCGUCUUGCGGGAUGGAAAGGGAAGCUGCUGCCAUUGGCUAGUCGACGUGUGAUG